rnacentral:rRNA from 1 species
UACGUAGGGGGCUAGCGUUGUCCGGAUUUAUUGGGCGUAAAGAGCUCGUAGGCGGUUUGUCGCGUCUGCUGUGAAAUCCCGAGGCUCAACCUCGGGUCUGCAGUGGGUACGGGCAGACUGGAGUGCGGUAGGGGAGAAUGGAAUUCCUGGUGUAGCGGUGGAAUGCGCAGGUAUCAGGAGGAACACCGAUGGCGAAGGCAGUUCUCUGGGCCGUAACUGACGCUGAGGAGCGAAAGCGUGGGGAGCGAACAGG